AGGCUGGCCUCAAACUCACAGCGAUCCUUCUGCCUCAGCCUCCUGAGUGCUUACAUUACUGGUGUGCCCUGCUACACCCAGCUGAAAUGCAUAUCUAAUAAGUAGAAUGCAUGCCAGAGCUGGAACAGACCAGAAGCCCCGGAGAAAUGGCAGUGACCAGGCUGGGACCAUGUACCAGGAGCCAAAUGUCUCCUCAGUUACAGAAUAAGGAUGUACUUGAAGACAGAGGGGAGCCUGUCAACAGCAUACAGGAGCCAACCUCACGGGGCCAAUGGCCACACACAGGGUGACAUAUCCUGAUUAAUGGGUCCAAGACUCAAGAGAGAGAGAGAGACGCUGAAUUUCAUGUGUGAUCCCGGCCUGACUCUCUCACUGGAGGACAAUAUUCAGAAAAUUGACAGGACGUGGAUGGGGUUGAGGGUUUGAGGGCAGCCACCUAGCAGGUCCAGUUCUUGUGACAGUUGUGCUCUGAUGCACAGGAGGAGCCUCUUGUGCGGAAACUGUUCCUGGCAGCGCUCAGGCAGCGGGGCACCUGGCCAGCAGCCUGCCUUGCAGCGGCUCAGGACAGAUUCAGCAUUUCCUGUCAGUCUUCCUACUCCUCGCAGACGUUGUGUAAAGACCUUUCAAGUUCUGUCAUUUGACUGCGUAUAAAUUUUACCUCAGCUAAGCAACAUGUCUGUGAAAUUUUUACCAAAUGUCCCUUUAAGCAACCAAAGAGAAAGUAAUGUGACUUCUACCUUGUGAUUUUUUAAUAUGAUGAAUUAUAUUAAAAUAUUUUCUAUUAAUGAACCAUCUUAGGUUCCAAAAGUAAACCCCACUUGUUCUGAGUGGUUUUUAAUUUAAUAAAUGCUCUAUUUACUAAUAUUUUAUUUAAUAUUUCUGUAUUGAUGUUAAUCAGAUCUGUAUGCAAUAUUACGUUAUUGUGCUAUAUUUUGAGAGUUUUCUUACCCCUACUGUCCAAUAAAUACUUUAAAAUAGGAAAAUUUCCAUAUUUCCCCAUAUUCCUGGAUACUUUCUGCAGUGUUACAAUUAAUCCUUUCCUUAAAGUGCAUGAUGUUCUUGAGGAACUGUCCAGGUCUGACGGUUUUUGUGGGGAUUGCUCUUGGAAAGUGGUUUGCCUUACUCGUCAGGCAUCUGUUGUAACAUAAUUAUGAUUAUUAAUUAUAAUAUGUUUCCAGAAAACUAUCUGUUUGAACCAGGCUUUGUUUAUUUGCUUGGCAUUCAAAGUGUUCUCUUAAAAUUAACUGGUUCCUAUAUCUAUGAUUAUUUUCUUCUUUUGUGUAUAUAUUU